GUUUGAUCUGGGUCUCUCUUAAUUUGUGUUUUGGAGAUGGGUUCUUCUUUUCUGCUCUUUACUGCGGAUUCCUUAAGCUCGAUUUUGGGUUAGGAUUAGAUUUAUUGUUUGUUUGUUUUUGUUUGCUAGUGUUUACUUCUUCUUAUUUGUGUGAGUGUAUUCUGAUUGAUGUGAGUAGUUUCUGUUUUUGUUUCUUGUUCAUGAUUUCUGCCUUUUAUUUUGUUGGUGAUACAGGUGUGAAAUCGCAAUUGGAUU
rnacentral:misc_RNA from 1 species